GAUGAACGCUGGCGGCGUGCCUAAUACAUGCAAGUCGAGCGAACAGACGAGGAGCUUGCUCCUCUGACGUUAGCGGCGGACGGGUGAGUAACACGUGGAUAACCUACCUAUAAGACUGGGAUAACUUCGGGAAACCGGAGCUAAUACCGGAUAACAUGUUGAACCGCAUGGUUCAACAGUGAAAGACGGUUUUGCUGUCACUUAUAGAUGGAUCCGCGCCGCAUUAGCUAGUUGGUAAGGUAACGGCUUACCAAGGCAACGAUGCGUAGCCGAUCUGAGAGGGUGAUCUGCCACACUGGAACUGAGACACGGUCCAGACUCCUACGGGAGGCAGCAGUAGGGAAUCUUCCGCAAUGGGCGAAAGCCUGACGGAGCAACGCCGCGUGAGUGAAGAAGGUCUUCGGAUCGUAAAACUCUGUUAUUAGGGAAGAACAAAUGUAUAAGUAACUAUGCACGUCUUGACGGUACCUAAUCAGAAAGCCACGGCUAACUACGUG
rnacentral:rRNA from 1 species